UUGGUGGAUCCGCAUGGACCGUCGCUGCACGGCCGGGUCUUGUGCCCGUCGCACUUCUCGCUGGAGCGCGUCAACAGCUGCUGGGCCUGGUCGACACGGCCGUGUGGAAGGUAGGCAGCCAGCUUGCUGGCCGUUGUUAUAGCCACGCGUGCCCAGGUCGGGCUUGGCAGAGGUGAGCGGUGCAUGCUCUCUCUCGGGAGGGCUGGCGUCCUGUUCCGUUCACGUAGCUGGCUCGGAUGCACUGCUUGCAGUACGUUCUUGCCGGUGAAAUGGCGUGCAGUCAACGCACACGAUGCACCAUGGUUGUUGGCGGCCAUAUGGCUUUAUCCGACCCGUCUUGAAACACGGACCAAGGAGUCUAACAUGUGCGCAAGUCUUGGGGUGACCGAAACCCAGAGGCGCAAUGAAAGUGAAGGCUGCCUAGCAGCUGAGGUGAGAUCUUUGCUCUACGCGAGUGAGGCGCAUCAUCGACCGACCUAUUCUACUCUUAGGAAGGUUUGAGUAAGAGCGUACAUGCUGGGACCCGAAAG
rnacentral:rRNA from 1 species